rnacentral:rRNA from 1 species
UACGGAGGGGGCAAGCGUUGUUCGGAGUCACUGGGCGUAAAGGGCGCGUAGGCGGUGCGUAAAGUCAGGCGUGAAAGCCCCGGGCUUAACCUGGGAAUUGCGCUUGAUACUGACGUGCUAGAGAACGGGAGAGGAUGGCGGAAUUCCCAGUGUAGAGGUGAAAUUCGUAGAUAUCGGGAGGAAUACCUAUGGCGAAAGCAGGCUACUGGACCGUCACUGACUCUGAUCUGCGAAAGCUAGGGGAGCAAACAGG